rnacentral:rRNA from 1 species
GAUGAACGCUGGCGGCGUGCCUAAUACAUGCAAGUCGAGCGAACGGACGAGAAGCUUGCUUCUCUGAUGUUAGCGGCGGACGGGUGAGUAACACGUGGAUAACCUACCUAUAAGACUGGGAUAACUUCGGGAAACCGGAGCUAAUACCGGAUGAUAUUUUGAACCGCAUGGUUCAAAAGUGAAAGACGGUCUUGCUGUCACUUAUAGAUGGAUCCGCGCUGCAUUAGCUAGUUGGUAAGGUAACGGCUUACCAAGGCGACGAUGCAUAGCCGACCUGAGAGGGUGAUCGGCCACACUGGAACUGAGACAAGGUCCAGACUCCUACGGGAGGCAGCAGUAGGGAAUCUUCCGCAAUGGGCGAAAGCCUGACGGAGCAACGCCGCGUGAGUGAUGAAGGUCUUCGGAUCGUAAAACUCUGUUAUUAGGGAAGAACAUAUGUGUAAGUAACUGUGCACAUCUUGACGGUACCUAAUCAGAAAGCCACGGCUAACUACGUG